rnacentral:rRNA from 1 species
GACGAACGCUGGCGGCGUGCUUAACACAUGCAAGUCGAGCGAUGAAAGCCUUAUGAACUAUUCGUAGUGAUUGGGGCCGGAUUAGCGGCGGACGGGUGAGUAACGCGUGAGCAACCUGCCUUAAACAACGGGAUAGCCUCGGGAAACCGGGAUUAAUACCGUAUGAGACCCCGCCUUCACAUGAAGAAGAGGUUAAAAAUUUAUCGGUUUAAGAUGGGCUCGCGUCUGAUUAGCUAGUUGGUGAGAUAAAAGCCCACCAAGGCAACGAUCAGUAACCGACUUGAGAGAGUGAACGGUCACAUUGGAACUGAGACACGGUCCAAACUCCUACGGGAGGCAGCAGUGGGGAAUAUUGCACAAUGGGGGAAACGCUGAUGCAGCGACGCCGCGUGAGCGAUGAAGGAAUUCGUUUCGUAAAGCUCUGUCCAAGGGGAAGAUAAUGACAGUACCCUUGGAGGAAGCCCCGGCUAAAUACGUGCCAGCAGCCGCAGUAACAC